rnacentral:rRNA from 1 species
CGUACGAUACGAGUUGAUCCUGGCUCAGAAUCAACGCUGGCGGCGUGCCUCAGACAUGCAAGUCGAACGAUUAAAGCUCUCUUCGGAGAGUGUAUAGAGUGGCGCACGGGUGAGUAACACGUAAGUAAUCUACCCUCGAGUGGGGAAUAACAACCGGAAACGGUUGCUAAUACCGCAUAAUGCAGCGGCACCGCAAGGUGACAGUUGUUAAAGAUUUAUCGCUUGAGGAGGAGCUUGCGGCAGAUUAGCUAGUUGGUAGGGUAACGGCUUACCAAGGCUACGAUCUGUAACCGGUCUAAGAGGACGGUCGGUCACACUGACACUGAAUAACGGGUCAGACUCCUACGGGAGGCAGCAGUCGGGAAUUUUGGGCAAUGGGCGAAAGCCUGACCCAGCAACGCCGCGUGAAGGAUGAAGUAUUUCGGUAUGUAAACUUCGAAAGAAUAGGAAGAAUUAAUGACGGUACUAUUUAUAAGGUCCGGCUAACUACGUG